rnacentral:lncRNA from 1 species
AUAAAAUUGCUAUUCUAUAUUUGAGUAUAAUUAUAAUAGUUGUGUUUAACAGUGUUUCAUAAUAAAAUUCUAGUUAAUUGUAUAUAUAAUUAUAUUUAACUAGAUUUUCACCCGUGCGAUGCACGGCUAAUAUAAUAAUAUAGAAUAAUAAAAAUUAUUAUGUGAUGAUAACAAAAAGAUUUUCUAAUUAAUUUUAUAUUUUUUAACAAAUAAAAAAAUAUACUAUCAAUCUUAAUUAUAGUACAUAUUAAAGUACACAAGCUAGAGAAAAAAAAAUUUGGACCAAAGUAAAUAUUCAACUAAAAUGCAAAAUUCAAUCCUGCUCUAUUAUCUAUGAAUUGGUGUUACAUAUUGAUGUGCGAAAUAAAAUGAUAACUAAAAUUGAUAUGAAAAAUUACAAAUGACAUUAAUAUUUAAGCAUAUAAUGAGAUCAACUAAACUUUCAUAUUUGACACAAAUUAGAGUAAGCACACAUAUAUUAUGUUCCUACUGUCACUUUUAAGAUUAAAAAAUAUAUAGAUGUUGGUUUUCAAGAAAAUAUAAAGAAAAAAAAACUUUGUUGCCUGAAGAUGAAAAGUUACAGGAGUGACAGUAGGGAAAAAAAUUACAAAAUAAAAAUUACAGAAGUGACAGUAGGGAAAUAAUAUGUUCUAUUUUAAAGCAUCAAUAUUUAAGGGCGAAGAAAAUUACAGUAGUGAUGUGAGUUUUAAAUUUUUUUCUCUUUCCAAAAAUGCCUCUAUCCUUUUUUACUAAUAUUUUUAUGUCCAGAAAUUUUCAACCAAUCAUUUCAAAUAAUGAACUAAGUAAUAAUUUAUUCCCAAAUAAAGAUAAAUAUUUUCAUUCUCACGCAUAAUAUCCGCACCGCCAAUUCUUUCGCAACAUAAUAUCUGUAAAUUUUUCAAAUAUCUCAACAUAAUUAUAGGUGACUUUGAAAUAAAAUUUCCUUCAUUAUAUGUGAUUUUUAAUAAUAUAGUAAAAGAUAUUAAUUUUUUAUAAAAGCGUGAGUUUUGAAUUUUUUCUCUUUCUAAAAAUGUCUCUAUCCUUUUUUACUAAUAUUUUAUGUCCAGAAAUUUUCAACCAAUCAUUUUAAAUAAUUAACUGAGUAGUAAUUUAUUCCCAAAUAAAGAUAAAUAUUUUUCUUCUCACGCGUAAUAUCUGCACCGGCUAAUUUUUUUGCCACAUAAUAUCCGUGAAUUUUUUAAAUAUCUCAACAUAAUUAUAGAUGACUUUGAAAUAAAAUCUCCUUCAUUAUAGGUGAUUUUUAAUAAUAUAGCAAAAUAUAUUAUUUUUUUGCCAUUAGAUCUUAUCUAAUGAUUGAAAAUAAAAAUAUAUGUUAAUUUUUGUGACAAUAUUACCCUCGCAUUUAUAUCCUAUUUUCUAUCUACGCGUUUCUCAAAUAUUUUUCUUCUCACGCAUAUUAUCCGCACCAGUCAAUUCUUUCGCAACGUAAUAUCUGUGAAUUUCUCAAAUAUCUCAUUAAUCCACCUAUCAUUUGAAUUUAAUAAUAUAGUAAAUAGAAUAGAUACGAUGACACGUGAAAUACAUAUAGAAAGCCACGUCAGGAAAUUGUCUCUAUCUUUUUUUACUAAUAUUUUUAUGUCCAGUAAUUUUCAACUAAUAAUUUCAAAUAAUUAACUAAGUAGUAAUUUAUUCCCGAAUAAAAAUAAAUAUUUUCCUUCUCAUGCGUAAUAUCUGUACCCGCCAAUUCUUUCGCAACGUAAUAUCCGUGAAUUUCUUAAAUGUCUUAACAUAAUUAUAGGUGACUUUGAAAUAAAAUUUUGAUUUUUAAUA